rnacentral:tRNA from 3 species
GGAGAGAUGCGAGAGCGGUUGAAUCGGACGGUCUCGAAAACCGUUGAACUCGUAAGGGUUCCGAGGGUUCGAAUCCCUCUCUCUCCG